rnacentral:rRNA from 1 species
CCAAUAGCGUAUAUUAAAGUUGUUGCAGUUAAAAAGCUCGUAGUUGAAUUUCGGGGUUAGUAGGUUGGUCAUGCCUCCGGUAUGUACUGAUCUCACUGAUUCCUCCUUCCUUAUGAACCGUAAUGCCAUUAAUUUGGUGUUGCGGGGAAUUUGGACUGUUACUUUGAAAAAAUUACAGUGUUUAAAGCAAGCUAACGCUUGAAUACAUUAGCAUGGAAUAAUGAAAUAGGACGUUCGAUCUUAUUUUGUUGGUUUCUAGGAUUGACGUAAUGAUUAAUAGGGAUAGUUGGGGGCAUUAGUAUUCAAUUGUCAGAGGUGAAAUUCUUGGAUUUAUUGAAGACUAACUACUGCGAAAGCAUUUGCCAAGGAUGUUUUCAUUAAUCAAGAACGAAAGUUAGGGGAUCGAAGACGAUCAGAUACCGUCGUAGUCUUAACCAUAAACUAUGCCGACUAGGGAUCGGAUGAUGUUAAUUUUUUAAUGACUCAUUCGGCGCCUUACG